UACGUAGGGAGCAAGCGUUGUCCGGAAUCAUUGGGCGUAAAGCGCGCGUAGGCGGCUCGAUCAGUCUGUUGUGAAAGUCAAAGGCUCAACCUUUGAAUGCCGAUGGAUACUGUCGAGCUAGAGUCCGGAAGAGGCGGGUGGAAUUCCUGGUGUAGCGGUGGAAUGCGCAGAUAUCAGGAGGAACACCAACGGCGAAGGCAGCCCGCUGGGACGGUACUGACGCUGAUGAGCGAAAGCGUGGGGAGCAAACAGG
rnacentral:rRNA from 1 species